AAGAUGCUCAACACUUUCCCAAUAAAGUCGGGCUUGCCUAACCAACUUCAUCCUAGUAAAUCUAACUCUCUUUGCUUCAGACAUUUCGUACCAUUUAAAGUAGUGAUCCAUGCCUGAUUCUCAGUCUAGGUAUUCUCUCGGAUCUAGACAACCAUCAAAACUUGGGACUUCGAUCUUCACAUUCCUAAGAAUAUGCUCAUCUGGGUCGAACUGAUUAUGGUGCGGGCAUCCCCUUAUAGGUCGAUUAAGUUCUAGGUUCCUACCUCUCUGUCCUAUAGACAGUUGGGGAGACUCAGAUUCAGGUUGUUUCUGCCUUAGCUUCUUCUAAUACUACUAUUCUCUUAUUCAUGGCUUUCAUAAAAUUUUUCAUAUCAUUAAACUUUUCAGUCAAAGCAUUN
rnacentral:lncRNA from 1 species